UUUAAUUGAAGAGUUUGAUCAUGGCUCAGAUUGAACGCUGGCGGUAGGCUUAACACAUGCAAGUCGAGCGGAAACGAAGAAUAGCUUGCUAUUCUGGCGUCGAGCGGCGGACGGGUGAGUAAUGCUUGGGAAUCUGCCUAGUCGAGGGGGACAACAGUUGGAAACGACUGCUAAUACCGCAUACGACCUACGGGUGAAAGGGGGCCUCUUCUUGAAAGCUCUCGCGACUAGAUGAGCCCAAGUGGGAUUAGCUUGUUGGUGAGGUAAGAGCUCACCAAGGCGACGAUCCCUAGCUGGUCUGAGAGGAUGAUCAGCCACACUGGAACUGAGACACGGUCCAGACUCCUACGGGAGGCAGCAGUGGGGAAUAUUGCACAAUGGAGGAAACUCUGAUGCAGCCAUACCGCGUGUAUGAAGAAGGCCUUAGGGU
rnacentral:rRNA from 1 species